ensembl:lncRNA
GGGGGGGAGGAGAUUUGUAUCCGUGGCCGACGUGAGUAAGACGUUUAAGCGCGUUAACCCUCGCAAGGCUGCCAGCCCAGACAGCAUCCCUAGCCGCGUCCUCAGAGCAUAGCAGACCAGCUGGCUGGAGUGUUAACGGACAUAUUCAGUCUCUCCCUAUCACAGUCUGUUGUCCCCACAUGCUUCAAGAUGUCCACCAUUGUUCCCGUACCCAAGAAAGCAAAGAUCCACAGACGAUGGAAUUGCCAUCGCACUGCACACUGCCCUAUUCCAUCUGGAGAAGAAGAAUGCCUAUAUGAGAAUGCUGUUCAUUUACUAUAGCUUAGCAUUCAACACCAUAGUACCCUCCAAGCUUGAGGCCCUGGGUCUGAACCCCACCGUGUGCAACUGGGUCUUGGACUUCCUGAUGAGCCACCCACAGGUGGUGAAGGUAGGAAACAACACCUCCACUUCGCUGAUCCUCAACACCUAUGGCCCCACAAGGAUGCGUGCUCAGCCCCCUCCUGUACUCCCUGUUCACCCAUGACUGGGUGGCCACACACGCCUCCAACUCAAUCAUCAAGUUUUCAGACAACACAACAAUAGUAGGCCUGAUUACCAACAAUGACGAGACAGCCUAAAGGGAGGAGGAAAGGGCCCGGGGAGUGUGAAGUGAGCUUCCAGUUCCUCGGUGUACACAUCACUAACAAACUGAAAUGGUCAACCCACACAACAGAGCCUCAUCAACCUCAGGAGGCUGAAGAAAUUUGACUUAAAACCCUCAACUUUUACAAAUACACAAUUGAGAGCAUCCUGUUGGGCUGUAUCACCACCUGGUACAGCAACUGCACCACCCGCAACCGCAGGGCUCUCCAGAGGGUGGUGCAUCCCUGCCCAACACAUCACCGGGUGCAAGCUACCUGCUCUCCAGGACACCUACAGCACCCGAUGUCACAGGAAGGCCAAAAAGAUCAUCAAGGACAACAACCACCCGAGCCACUGCCUGUUCACACCGCUAUCAUCCAGAUGUUGACGUCAGUACAGAUACAUCAAAGCUGAGACAGAGACUGAAAAACAGCUUCUAUCUCAAUGUCAUCAGACUGUUAAACAGUCAUCACUAGCACAUUAGAGGCUGCUGCCCUAUUUACGUAGACUUGAAAACACUGGCCAAUGGAUCAUAAUGGAUCACUAGUCACUUUAAUUAUGUUGACUUAUUUUGCAUCACUCAUCUCAUAUGUAUAUACUUGAUUCUAUCCUAUUCUACUGUAUCUUAGUCUAUGCUGCUCUUACAUUGCUCAUAUUUCUAUAUUCUUAAUUCC